UCUUUCUUUACCUUGCUUUCAGAUGAGCCCUGAGAAGGACCAUAUCAGAUCAUCAUUGGAGGGUCAAGAGUCAAGACUGUGUUGACAUGAUGAGAUCAGUGUGACGGAUUCUGCUGCCAGUGAUCCUGAUGGAAGCGGUUCUGGAGGAGAUGUUGCUGCUGGAGCUGCAGCGUCUCUAGUUAUGUUGGUGUUCAGAAGAUGCCCAUCGAGAAAACCACUGACGUGCCUCAAGGUACCCGAGGUUUAAAUCAGAAUAUGACCAUCUAGUAAGCUUUAUCUAUGAGAGCUCAUGUACUUACAAAGCAUGUUGUAUUCUGUACAGAGAAUGACAGUGAGGAAGAAAUUGAAAACCUUGUGGAAAGGACAAAAAGUGUGCUGGUCAAAUGCUGAAGUUACAGCUGCAAUUAAACAUGUUAAGGCACAUAUAACCAAAGGAAAACUGGCCACACUGACUGAAUGGCAGAAGUGUAAGACCACUGAAGACCCUUUCCGUGGAGUUUCAAUCUCUACCUCACUCUCAUUCUCAGCGCAGAAGAAUACAUGCUUUAGUAAGCUCUAAACACACGGGAGCUCAUGUACUUACAAUGAUAGUUAUAUUAACACUAGACGCUUCUAGAGCUGAUGUACAACCCAAGCAAACUUUGUUAAAUAAUUUUCCUGUAAAUCUGCUUUGAAACUUGACUUGACAAUUCUGUUUAUAUUUUCUGGAAAUAACAGAGGUAAACCGUCCGUUGUAAUUUGGUUUGUUUUGCAAAUGUAUAUAUCGCGAUAUGCAUAUCGCGACGGCUUGCAAUAGCUGG